GUUAAAAAUUAAAAAAUGUGAACAGUUUAUUUUUGUCUUAAUUUUUGAAUAAGAAAAAUCUAAAGCAAAUACGUGUUCCAUCAUUCUUCUUCUCCUAACUUGCAAAUUAAAAAUUUAACCCUAAUUUAAUCUUUAUGCCACCACUUCCAGUAACCAUUGCCUUUCCCCGCUUCGAUUCCCACCUCCGAUGUUGCCGCCUGCUCUGUUUCUCUCCUCCACCGCUUUCUAUUGCUCGUGUUUUUCUUCCUCUAUGUCUACUGAUGUCCACUGUGUUUCAUUCCUCCGCUGCUCGCUGCUCGCUGUCGUUGCGUUUUGUUCUACCGUUGUGUCUGCUGCCUCACCGCCCAUAGCAACGCCGGCCUUCGUUUCAAGCUUGAUCUCUCUGUGAAAGUCUCUGGUGACUUUGAAUCACAAAUUCUUACUGUUGGAACUAUUAUCAUAAUAUCACCAAUCUUCAUGAUUUUGCUUAAUUGGAAGCGACUAUUGAUUAUGCUUGAUCGUCCAAUUUAUAGCUUAAUCUCUGAUAUGAUAUCUAGUUAGUUUUAAGAUAGUAAAGUUAUGGUUCUUAAAGUGCCUAAAAGUUUAGUGUCUUGUUUUUCAGGUAAACAAUUGAAAAUCUCAUUGAGCUGAACUAUGUUAGACAGGCUGUUUUUGUGUUAUCUUUGUGCUUUCUUUGUUUGCACACGUAUGUUAAGACAAUAUGAGUGGAUGAUACUUCUCAAAAAUGAAGGAAUUAAGGUCUUGAUCGCUAAAAUUGUAGGAAUUGUGAUCCAGUUCUUGUUUUUCUAGUACUUGCUUGCAAGCCUUUAACGUCAUCCUCGGUGUACCCUAAUCCGUCUUAAAUCCUAGAACGAGGUUUUUCGAUUUUGCAUACUUAUCUUGCAAAGACUAUUAUGGAGAAAUGAAGAUGAUAGAUUUUAUAUGAAGUGCUAGCUCGUCUUUUGACAAGAAUAAAAAUAGUACUCUUUCACAUUUAUUAGGACUAAUGUAUGUUCAAUUUUAAUUGUGUUGUAACUAGCCUAGUGUAGAAUUGAUAACCAAAGAUUAUUGUAUGAGUGUUUGAAGUUAAAUUAAAUGUAUUUUUAAAAUUUUUGAAA